rnacentral:rRNA from 1 species
AUUGAACGCUGGCGGCAGGCCUAACACCUGCAAGUCGAACGAGUGGCGGACGGGUGAGUAAUGUCUGGGAAACUGCCUGAUGGAGGGGGAUAACUACUGGAAACGGUAGCUAAUACCGCAUACCAUCAGAUGUGCCCAGAUGGGAUUAGCUAGUGGGGGGGGUAAAGGCUCACAAGGGCGACGAUCCCUAGCUGGUCUGAGAGGAUGACCGGCCACACUGAAACUGAGACACGGGCCAGCUGCCUAGGGGAGGCAGUAGUGGGGAAGAUUGGCCAAGGGGCGCAAGCCUGAUGCAGCCAGGCCGCGUGUGUGAAGAAGGCCUUCGGGUUGUAAAGUACUUUCAGCGGUGAGGCGUUACCCGCAGAAGAAGCACCGGCUAACUCCGUGCCAGCAGCCGCGGUAAUUC